rnacentral:rRNA from 1 species
AGUCGAGGGGCAGCGGGAUUGAAGCUUGCUUCAAUUGCCGGCGACCGGCGCACGGGUGAGUAACGCGUAUCCAACCUUCCGCUUACUCGGGGAUAGCCUUUCGAAAGAAAGAUUAAUACCCGAUUGUAUCUUAAGCACGCAUGAGAUUAACAUUAAAGAUUUAUCGGUAAGCGAUGGGGAUGCGUUCCA